rfam:Lactobacillus graminis DSM 20719 NODE_2, whole genome shotgun sequence.
UGCGAUGAGUCGAGUAAGUCUCGGUAGGCAACUAUUCUGCGAAAGCAGCUAGGAGACCCAAAGAUACAGGAUACCACGGUUAUUCAUUUAACCACUUGCCGUAUUGCAAGGGUGUUUUCACCCGCUGUGUUGUGGAGCAC